rnacentral:lncRNA from 1 species
AAAGCUGGUGCUUGAUUCAGAUCAAGCUGCUUCAGAAGUGAGGAGGAGGAGGAGAAUGGAACCUCAUUCUGUCUUUUAACUCUUAUUCAGUCUUAUUAUUUUAUCUCCAGUGUUAAUGGUGACUUUUUAAACUUUUGACAUUUGUUGCAGGGAAAGAAACCUAAAGAAGAGCCACAAGAGAAUGAAGAUGAGAAGUAAAGAGAAUUCAUGGGACCUCUCAGCUAUAAAGUUUGCAGAAUUAUCAGUGGCUAUUCGACUUCAAAAGAGUACAGCAUACAACAUUAGUAAAUUCUGAAUCAGUGGCAGACAAAUGAUCUGAUUUUUUAAUUUGGCUUUUUUA